rnacentral:rRNA from 1 species
CACAAGCGGUUGGAGGUAUGUGGUUUAAUUUCGACGCAACGCGCAGAACCUUUACCUGGUCUUGACAUCCCGGGAAUCUUUCUGAAAGGAGAGAGUGCCUCGCAAGAGGAGCCUGGAGACAGGUGCUGCAUGGCUGUCGUCAGCUCGUGUCGUGAGAUGUUGGGUUAAGUCCCGCAACGAGCGCAACCCUAUCUUUAGUUGCCAUCAUUGAGUUGGGCACUCUAAAGAGACUGCCGGUGUCAAACCGGAGGAAGGUGGGGAUGACGUCAAGUCCUCAUGGCCUUUAUGACCAGGGCUACACACGUACUACAAUGGCCGGUACAAAGGGCAGCGACACAGCGAUGUGAAGCCAAUCCCGAAAAGCCGGUCUCAGUCCGGAUUGGAGUCUGCAACUCGACUCCAUGAAGUUGGAAUCGCUAGUAAUCGCGGAUCAGCACGCCGCGGUGAAUACGUUCCCGGGCCUU